rnacentral:rRNA from 1 species
UGGGGAAUAUUGGACAAUGGGCGAAAGCCUGAUCCAGCCAUGCCGCGUGUGUGAAGAAGGUCUUCGGAUUGUAAAGCACUUUAAGUUGGGAGGAAGGGUUGUAGAUUAAUACUCUGCAAUUUUGACGUUACCGACAGAAUAAGCACCGGCUAACUCUGUGCCAGCAGCCGCGGUAAUACAGAGGGUGCAAGCGUUAAUCGGAAUUACUGGGCGUAAAGCGCGCGUAGGUGGUUAGUUAAGUUGGAUGUGAAAUCCCCGGGCUCAACCUGGGAACUGCAUUCAAAACUGACUGACUAGAGUAUGGUAGAGGGUGGUGGAAUUUCCUGUGUAGCGGUGAAAUGCGUAGAUAUAGGAAGGAACACCAGUGGCGAAGGCGACCACCUGGACUGAUACUGACACUGAGGUGCGAAAGC